rnacentral:rRNA from 1 species
CUAGCUACAGGCUUAACACAUGCAAGUCGACGGGCAGCAUGGUCUUAGCUUGCUAAGGCCGAUGGCGACCGGCGCACGGGUGAGUAACACGUAUCCAACCUGCCGUCUACUCUUGGACAGCCUUCUGAAAGGAAGAUUAAUACAAGAUGGCAUCAUGAGUCCGCAUGUUCACAUGAUUAAAGGUAUUCCGGUAGACGAUGGGGAUGCGUUCCAUUAGAUAGUAGGCGGGGUAACGGCCCACCUAGUCUUCGAUGGAUAGGGGUUCUGAGAGGAAGGUCCCCCACAUUGGAACUGAGACACGGUCCAAACUCCUACGGGAGGCAGCAGUGAGGAAUAUUGGUCAAUGGGCGAGAGCCUGAACCAGCCAAGUAGCGUGAAGGAUGACUGCCUUAUGGGUUGUAAACUUCUUUUAUAAAGGAAUAAAGUCGGGUAUGGAUACCCGUUUGCAUGUACUUUAUGAAUAAGGAUCGGCUAACUCCGUGCCAACAGCCGCGGUAAUACGGAGGAUUCGAGCGUUAUCCGGAUUUAUUGGGUUUAAAGGGAGCGUAGAUGGAUGUUUAAGUCAGUUGUGAAAGUUUGCGGCUCAACCGUAAAAUUGCAGUUGAUACUGGAUAUCUUGAGUGCAGUUGAGGCAGGCGGAAUUCGUGGUGUAGCGGUGAAAUGCUUAGAUAUCACGAAGAACUCCGAUUGCGAAGGCAGCCUGCUAAGCUGCAACUGACAUUGAGGCUCGAAAGUGUGGGUAUCAAACAGGAUUUAGAUACCCUGGUAGUCCACACGGUAAACGAUGAAUACUCGCUGUUUGCGAUAUACGGCAAGCGGCCAAGCGAAAGCGUUAAGUAUUCCACCUGGGGAGUACGCCGGCAACGGUGAAACUCAAAGGAAUUGACGGGGGCCCGCACAAGCGGAGGAACAUGUGGUUUAAUUCGAUGAUACGCGAGGAACCUUACCCGGGCUUAAAUUGCAGAUGAAUUACGGUGAAAGCCGUAAGCCGCAAGGCAUCUGUGAAGGUGCCGCAUGGUUGUCGUCAGCUCGUGCCGUGAGGUGUCGGCUUAAGUGCCAUAACGAGCGCAACCCUUGUUGUCAGUUACUAACAGGUUCUGCUGAGGACUCUGACAAGACUGCCAUCGUAAGAUGUGAGGAAGGUGGGGAUGACGUCAAAUCAGCACGGCCCUUACGUCCGGGGCUACACACGUGUUACAAUGGGGGGUACAGAGGGCCGCUACCACGCGAGUGGAUGCCAAUCCCAAAAACCUCUCUCAGUUCGGACUGGAGUCUGCAACCCGACUCCACGAAGCUGGAUUCGCUAGUAAUCGCGCAUCAGCCACGGCGCGGUGAAUACGUUCCCGGGCCUUGUACACACCGCCCGUCAAGCCAUGGGAGCCGGGGGUACCUGAAGUGCGUAACCGCGAGGAGCGCCCUAGGGUAAAACUGGUGA